ACAAAAUUUGGACCACCGGUCUACCCAGCAUUUACACCCGCUCGUUGGAAGAUCUUCCUUUUGUUAU
rnacentral:pre_miRNA from 1 species